AGGUAGGCAGGGAUGGAAGGUAGGUAGGCAGGGAUGGACGGUAGGUAGGGAUGGAAGGUAGGUAGGCAGGGAUGGACGGUAGGUAGGGAUGGAGGGUGGGUAGGGAUGGAAGGUAGGUAGGGAUGGAAGGUAGAUAGGCAGGGAUGGACGGUAGGUAGGGAUGGAAGGUGGGUAGGGAUGGAAGGAAGGUAGGCAGGGAUGGACGGUAGGUAGGGAUGGAAGGAAGGUAGGCAGGGAUGGACGGUAGGUAGGGAUGGAAGGUGGGUAGGGAUGGAAGGUAGGUAGGCAGGGAUGGACGGUAGGUAGGGAUGGAAGGUGGGUAGGGAUGGAAGGUAGGUAGGGAUGGAAGGAAGGUAGGGAUGGAAGGUAGGUAGGGAUGGAAGGUAGGCAGGGAUGGAAGGUAGGCAGGGAUGGAAGGUAGGUAGGCAGGGAUGGAAGGUAGGUAGGGAUGGAAGGUAGGGAUGGAAGGUAGGCAGGGAUGGAAGGUAGGUAGGGAUGGAAGGUAGGAAGGGAUGGAAGGUAGGAAGGUAUGGAAGGUAGGUAGGGAUGGAAGGUAGGUAGGGAUGGAAGGUAGGUAGGUAUGGUAGGUAGGCAGGGAUGGAAGGUAGGUAGGGAUGGAAGGUAGGGACGGUAGGUAGGCAGGGAUGGAAGGUAGGUAGGCAGGGAUGGAAGGUAGGUAGGCAGGGAUGGAAGGUAGGCAGGGAUGGAAGGAAGGUAGGCAGGGAUGGAAGGAAGGUAGGCAGGGAUGGAAGGUAGGCAGGGAUGGAAGGUAGGCAGGGAUGGAAGGUAGGUAGGGAUGGAAGGUAGGUAGGGAUGGAAGGUAGGCAGGGAUGGAAGGUAGGUAGGGAUGUUAAUGUCAAUAGAAAAGUUUAAACUCUGAUUCCUG
ensembl:lncRNA